CCCAGAUUCUCCGGAGGUAAUGAUCCGAAAUGCAUCUGAGCUUUUGAAGCAUCGUUAGAUCCCUCAACUUCGAAGCUUCUGGGGGAAACAAAUUGCUGCGAGUCGCAAGAAUGUAGUCAAGAAUCGGGGGACCUUUCGAGUUCGAAACAUUCGAGGCUAUCAUGUGUUGCGAAUUGCUAGAGUCUGCUUCUUGGGGGUAAAUUACAAAAACACAUAGGCAAAGGAGGGCAGUCAUGCUACUGGACUUGUGGCUCUCUGGAUCCCCAAAAUUCGUCGGGUUCUUUCAAGCUAAUUAUCAGGACUAGCAGUGUUACACUGAGAUAUGAAGCGACACUUCCAGGUGGUGGCAGAGAUGGAGUGGUCCCAGUGGUUGGGGCUGGUAGCUACGGACAUCCAGCUGGACUGGAGGUCGGGGCAAUGGAAGUUGCACUGUCAGUGACAGAACACUGCAAAAAUAACGGAAGAUCAUUGGCAUUAAAAGAGGGAAGCUCAAGAUUGUUUUUUCAGCCAGUGAAGCUCAAGAUUGUUUUUUCAGCCAGUGAAGCUCAAGAUUGAUUGCAGAUAAGAUGCCUGCAGAGGUUCCCUUUACAUCGCAAGCAUAUUUGUAAGACAAUCUUCUGGGGGAUCAUUUGGUUUUGGAGGGAGUUGAUGAUGAGGAAGCUGAGAUGGUUUUGAUUGGAAGGAUUUUUUCGGAGAAGCGCUUGAGUCAAGCUACGUAGCUGACGUCUUAAGGAAAGCCUGGGCUGGUCUGGGCGAGAUAACUCUAACCCCUCAAGAUGAGACGAUGUAUUUGUUCACGUUCCAUGGAUUGGCACCAAGCAGAGAGAGGUCCUCAGUUCUGGCCCUUGGUCGAUCAUGGGAAAUUGCAUAAAUCCGCAGAGAUGGGAUGCUGAGAGGAGACAGGAGGGCCUCUGUUUUCAUGAACUGGAGGUGUGGCUGCAAAUACAAGGAUCGGCCUUCAACCAAAUGACAGAGCAUUGCGAACCUAUUGCUCGUUUGGCACACAAACUGGUGAAAGUUGAGUCAAUUCACACCAAAUCUUGGGGUCGCUGUGGAUCCCUUCGUGCUAAAGUUGCACUCAUGUUAAAAAGGCCCCCCGUACCUGAAACGUGGGGUGUUAGGGAUAAUUGCACCAUCGGGUAGAGAUUUGAUAUGAGCGAACGCCAAACUUUUGUUGCUCAUGUAUUGGCCACACUGGAGAACUAUAUGACAAUGAAGUUCUUAUGUCUGAAGCUGUGGCUAGACAGCCUAGAUAUGGCCCUUUGUAAUCUCAUGGGUUUUAAUUUUGCUACACUUGCAAGAAGUAUUAAUUUCAUGAAA